rnacentral:rRNA from 1 species
CCGCGGUAAUACAUAGGUCACAAGCGUUAUCCGAAAUUAUUGGGCGUAAAGCGUCCGUAGGUUGUUUGUUAAGUCUGGAGUUAAAGACCGGUGCUCAACGCCGGCACGCUUUAGAUACUGGCAAACUAGAGUUAUAAAGAGGUAAGUGGAAUUUCAUGUGAAGCGGUGGAAUGCGUAGAUAUAUGAAAGAACACCAAUGGCGAAGGCAGCUUACUGGUUAUAUACUGACACUGAGGGACGAAAGCGUGGGGAGCAAACAGGAUUAGAUACCCUGGUAGUCCACGCCGUAAACGAUGAUCAUUAGUUGGUGGGGAAACCCUCGCUAACGCAGCUAACGCAUUAAAUGAUCCGCCUGAGUAGUAUGCUCGCAAGAGUGAAACUUAAAGGAAUUGACGGGGACCCGCACAAGCGGUGGAGCAUGUGGUUUAAUUUGACGAUACGCGUAGAACCUUACCCACUCUUGACAUCCCUUGCAAAGCUAUAGAGAUAUAGUG